GAGCAGCUGGGGCCCGGUAUCGCGGACUGGCUCCUGGGUUUGCAGGAGCCGAGGACGCCCUUUCUCGCCAGCCGCUCGAGGGCCCUAAGGGACACGUGGGAGGAGUGAUGCUGGAAUUCCGAGACGCAUUUAGAAAAGCAUCCCGUUGUCUCACCCCAUAGACUGGCUUCUUGGAAGAGGCACGUUCGGUGUAACUCAACCAAGGUGAGGAGGUUGAGGCUCAGCGAGGUGAAGUGACUUGGCCAAGGUUUCGUGGCUUGAAAUAGAGCUGUGAUCGGAGUCAAGGUUGUUCCCUGGCUGUUUACGGUCUCCAGCACUCCAUUAAAUGGAUGUACCACAAUUUGCUCAUCCAUUCACCUCUGGAGGGACUUCUUGGUUGCUUCCAGUUUUUGGCAAUUCACUCGCUCGCACUGGAGGAAGCCAGCUGCCAUGCCGUGAGGAUACUCAAGCCGUCGUGUGGGGACUGAGGCCCCCCGCCAACAGCCAGGGCAGCAUGCCACUUUGGAAGCAGAGUUUCUGGCACUGGUUGAGCCUUCGGCAGCUGCAGUUCGAGAGCCCAUGCCACAUGAACGCGAUGGAGGGUCCAGGAAGCACAAGUAGCCCCCAAAGGCCACAGCUGUCACCUGGCAGAUGGAGCACAAGUUUGGAGUAGGACAGACCUGGGUUCUGGUCUCGGCUUUGCUCUUUCCCUGCUGUGUGACCCUGGCCUCGUGUUCAGAGGGGCACUCAGCUUGCAGAGUGUCUAUGCCGUGGACGUGGGCCCGGGGUGCAAAGCACAGCCACAGCCUGUCGGUGGUGGUUCACCAGGUCACACCACUGGAUGAUAUUCAGCGACAGCUUCCGUGAGCCCGGUAUCCGGGUGGCAUCAGGCUCUGCGGGGAUCGUGCCGUCAGCGUCAUCCUGGAAGGAUCUUGAGAGCCCCGGACAGUGCCUGGCACAGAGUCAGUAAUAACUGAACACCUACCCUGUUUCAGAUGAGGAAACUGGAGCUCAGAGGGGAGAAGUGAUCCAUCCAGGGUCACGCAGACAGGGCGCAGACCCACACGCCCCAGCUCACGACUCCCGGCCGUGCUGCCCUUAUUGCUCACUGCUUCUGGACACUUCCCGGGCUGUCCACCCAUUGCACGGUGAGCGUGAUGGGCAGGCAGCCCGAGCGCCCCGAGACUGCCUCCCCCCCGCUUUCCCUUGGCAUCUCCAGUCAAUGUGGCACUCACGGUCCCUCGGGCAUGGACCCCCUCCUGCCAUCCCCACUUAAAGUGAUACUUUAAUAAA